AGCAAUGCCGCGUGUGUGAAGAAGGCUGAGGGUUGUAAAGCACUUUCAAUUGGGAGGAAAAAAUAUGUGUUAAUAGCGCAUAUCUUGACAUUACCUUUAGAAGAAGCACCGGCUAACUCCGUGCCAGCAGCCGCGGUAAUACGGAGGGUGCGAGCGUUAAUCGGAAUUACUGGGCGUAAUGCGUACGUAGGCGGUUAGUUAAGUUAGAUGUGAAAGCCCUGGGCUUAACCUGGGAACUGCAUUUAAAACUGGCUAACUCGAGUUUAGUAGAGGGGAGUGGAAUUUCAGGUGUAGCGGUGAAAUGCGUAGAGAUCUGAAGGAACACCAGUGGCGAAGGCGACUCCCUGGACUAAAACUGACGCUGAGGUACGAAAGCGUGGGUAGCAAACAGGAUUAGAUACCCUGGUAGUCCACGCCGUAAACGAUGUCAACUAACCGUUGGGCCUUUUAAAGGUUUAGUGGUGCAGCUAACGUAUUAAGUUGACCGCCUGGGGAGUACGGCCGCA
rnacentral:rRNA from 1 species